GUUUGAAUCCACUCAUGUUGGUUUUUCGUCAAUCUCAGGCUCAUUCCAGGUUUAGUGUGGAACCCAUCGUGUCCACUGGUGUUACACGCAGAAC